rnacentral:rRNA from 1 species
GAUGAACGCUGGCGGCGUGCUUAAUACAUGCAAGUCGAGCGAAAAGACGAGGAGCUUGCUGCUCUGACGUUAGCGGAGGACGGGUGAGUAACACGUGGAUAACCCCCCUAUCAGGCUGGGAUCACUUCGGGAAACGGGAGAUAAUAGCGGAGAAUAUAUUGAACCGCGUGGUGCAAUAGAGAAAGACGGUUUUGCGGUCUCUAAUAGAUGGUUCCGAGCCGCAUUAGCUAGUUGGUAAGGUAAAGGCUUACCAAGGCAACGAUGCGUAGCCGACCUGAGAGAGUGAUCGGCCACACUGGAACGGAGACACGGACCAGACUCCUACGGGAGGCAGCAGUAGGGAAUGUGCCGCAGUGGGCGAAAGCCUGACGGAGCAACGCCGCGUGAGAUAUGAAGGUCUUCGGAGCGUAAAACUCUGUUAUUAGGGAAGAACAAAUGUGUAAUGAACUAUGGACGUCUUGACGGUACCUGAUCAAAAAGCCACGGCUAACUACGUG